AGAUUCAGAGCCUCGUUUUAAAUUGAAAGGCCGAAGUUCACCUCGUGUUUCCUGGCGGUGAUUUUCAGCAAACAAUAAAAUUGUUGCUUAAAAGCAGGGUCAAGGUCCAUGAGAUGGAAAGCUCAAAAUAGGAAUGUUUGUUUCAAACCUCUUGAUAUGAAUUGAAUGUUAUUAUUCCCCCCCCCCAAGUCUAUACUGGGGCUCAUAUUGUGGUGAAAAUCAACUAUGGAUACAGUGCGACCAAUGUGACGGAUGGGUACAUGCAGGUUGCCUAACGGAACGUGUGGAUGAAGAUGAGCCUUUCACCUGUCCAGAUUGCGUUUAGAAAAACCAGAUGAUUCCAUGGUUUUGGCACCAACAAAAAAGGAAAUGGUAUUAAGAAACUCUGUUAUUAAGGGAUACCAUUUUUUCCAAAUAAGACCACCCAAUACCACACCCCCUACUCAGUUACUAGUCCAGCCAGAAUACACUAACAUUCAUGAUGAGUGUGCCAGUUUGGUAUGGUUACCAGAAUUAGAUACUUUUCCAGACCAUAUGCAUUCACUUAUUACGGAUGAAAAGAGGCAGCUAAAACUUCGAGAUGUGGCCGGUCUACCCAUUGGCCAUGUCCCAAGAAAUUUGGCAGGAUUCUUCCGGCCUUUAAUGGAGAGUGGACGCAUUGUAGCAGUGGUGACUGGAGAACCUGUCCCAAGCUUUCCUCCUUGGCCUGCACUAAAGGAAGAAGGAGGGGGUGUAGUGCUUCCAUGUAAUUACAUUAUCACACAUUCUGAUAUUGAGGCACAAUAUAAUAAACUUUCAGAACUGCUCAAAAGUAUCCCUGAAGGGACGGCCAUGGAACUUGUUCUGCUGUAGCUACUCCGAGUAUUUCUUUGCAUGUGUUUUAAAUUACAAGCAGUAAUCUUUGAUCUCUGUUGAUUACCUGGUAAGUUUUGAUUGGCAAAUAAUGUAAGUUCCAAUCACUUAUUUCUUUAAUUUUGUAUUAUUUCUUUUAUUUUGUAUGUUGAUUACAAGAAGUAAUCUUUGACCUCAGGAUAUAGAUAUGUGUGAUCUCUGUUUAAUCUAGUCAGUAUUGAUUAAGCUAAGCAUUUAAAAUGUUAAUUUCAGUCGCUUUGUUUUGGUAUUUUUUCUAUUGAAUACAAGUAGUAAUCUUUGAUCUCGGUAUAUAAAUAUAUGUAUCUAUACAGACCUAUAUUUUGUUGACCUUUGAAUAUUUUAU